AGAUCUGGACACCUGAAGUCUGUCAGCUUAAUGUCUGUCCAAGAUGAAUUGUUAGACUAAUUUACGAUCUUGUUAAUGCUGUUUAAUAAGACUCUCCAAAACCCUUUGACAAAGUCUUCAUCAAAGGCUGUCGUAAGCUUCAUGAUUGUGGGAUAAGAUGACCUGUCCUUUUAUGGACUGUUAACCCAUUAAAGGGACGCGCAUACAGUAGAAAUCAGUGUUGGGACAGGUGUCUUUUGACUUGUUUAUAAAUGGUCUUGACUUGGGAAGAAGCUAUUUGUGGUAGUGAGAUUCCAAAGUGAUUAUGAAGAACUUGAGAAGGAUCUCCUUAAACUGGUUAACUGCUGUGGU